rnacentral:rRNA from 1 species
UACGUAGGGGGCAAGCGUUAUCCGGAUUUAUUGGGCAUAAAGCGAGCGCAGGUGGUUUAUUAAGUCUGGUGUAAAAGGCAGUGGCUCAACCAUUGUAUGCAUUGGAAACUGGUAGACUUGAGUGCAGGAGAGGAGAGUGGAAUUCCAUGUGUAGCGGUGAAAUGCGUAGAUAUAUGGAGGAACACCGGUGGCGAAAGCGGCUCUCUGGCCUGUAACUGACACUGAGGCUCGAAAGCGUGGGGAGCAAACAGG